rnacentral:rRNA from 1 species
GACGAACGCUGGCGGCGUGCCUAAUACAUGCAAGUCGAACGCAGUGGGGACGGGUGAGUAACACGUGGGUAACCUCCCAUCAGAGGGGAUAACACUUGGAAACAGGUGCUAAACCGAUACUGAUGGAUGGACCCGCGGUGCAUUAGCUAGUUGGUGAGGUAACGGCUCACCAAGGCCACGAUGCAUAGCCGACCUGAGAGGGUGAUCAGCCACACGGUGACUUAGACACCGCCCAGACUCCUACGGGAGGCAGCAGUAGGGAAUCUUCGGCAAUGGACUAAAUUCUGACCGAGCAACGCCUCGUGAGUGAAGAAGUGUUUCGGAGCGUAAAACUCUGUUGUUAGAGAAGCGUUAUCUAACCAUAAAGCCACGGCUAACUACGUGCCAGCAGCCGCGGUAAUUC